CCUGCGUGUGAAGCUGGGGAGUGGUAGCUGCCACCAUUUAUAAAGCUGGCACAACAGACGGCUGCCCUGUGAUUGGUCCCAGUAAGGUUCCAUUCCAGCCAUAGGGAUCAGGGCAAGAGAUUGGACAAGGAGACUAGUGCUCACGUGGACGACUUCCACAGCAGCUCUCUAACCAACGGAGCCGCUAAGAAAAACUGGUUCAAUCUUUCUCAGAAUGAGGGAGAAAAACAGAGUCCACUAGGAAUCGCCUGCUAAUGCAAGAGAAGCUGCCCCAACAACUGUCACUGGUGGUAAGGAGGAACUGAAGAGGUGGCAGGUCAGAAGGGACCUAUAUACACAUGACCAUGAAAGCGCCACUCCAGGGGGCUCCACAGCCGACCCAACAUAUACUGCUAGGGAAAAACCUUCCGACGAUCAUGCUUGUGGCGCGCACACACCUAUUUGGAAUUGACAUGAGCAAUCACUCGAAGAGCAAGAGAAGCGCCCCUUUCUGCUCCAUGUCUAAAAGUAGAUGAAUCCUUCAUGAACACAAACCUAAGCACCACACAAAAAAACACUUGCAAAAUAAUAAAGAUUAAUCCUCCAAAGGGACAAGUUGGAUUUUGUGCCUGCACUGGCAGGCUAAAAGAGGAAAUAACAGAGUGGGGCCCUUUUUGUAUAGUUUUUGUUCCAAAAUGCUGGCUCUGAAGAGUACAUAUGUGGUUUAAUCUUUUGAAAAAAGUUGUGUGGGUGAGACUGUCUCCAUGUUCAGUCAAUUUUUUUGUCUGCUGAAUCUGCCAACAACUGUGCCAAAUAUGAUGGUGGUUUUGUGAUAUGGAUACAUGUCCAUUAGACUGAGAUCAAUAAUUUAUUUCAGACAGGCUACUAAGAUGUGGAGAGAUUAGUGAAAAUGGAACGAGAUAAUCUUUACAUCAGGAAUACUCAAAUAUUAGUUUUAAAAGUAGAAUGCAGUUGAUUAUACAACAUUUAAAAAAAGAGUGGUUUAAUAUUUAAAUAUCUUUACCUGUAUUAAUUUGGUCUUGUCAUAGUCUUUGCGAUGUCGAUAAAUACAUUGACUGAGUAUUGCAUAAAGUUUUUC